ensembl:lncRNA
CACAAAGGAAGAUGUUUGGACUCCUUUGACCUCCCCUGUAUGACAAAACAAUUGAAACACUUAUCAGAAAGAAAGUCACAGAGGUUUAGAAAGGACAUGAGGACAAGUAACCGAUGACAGACCUUACAUUCGCACACAAACACCCAACCUGUGGGCAAUAAGGCAGUGACUGCGAAAUGUAUGCUGACUUAUUAAGCGAUAUCAGUUGCAUUUCUGUCUGUUUUUUUUUCUUUUUCUCUCAACACAGGAGCAUGAGAGGCAGACUGUAGUUUUUUGGAUGAAUACCCCCUUUAUGUGGACCAAUUUAUCACGCCACAGGGAAAAAUGCUCUACAUCUACAUGAGCACCUGGUGUCCAGGCCCUUUCAACAGAGAAAGAAGAGAGAGAAAGCGGGAAAAGAUAGAGACAGCGGGAGAAACGGUUUGGAUUUGGAAGUUGGCUGCAUUUCUGGUUUUGUUUCGAAAUGUACUCCUUUGCCAGUUCUAAUUAAAAGCUCUUUGACAAAACUGUCAAUAAAAUGUAUAAUAAAUUAUAUGUAAAGGAGACAUAAACAAUUUAAAGGUGGAAGUGCGGCGAAGAUGAAGGAUCAGAAAAGUCUGGUUCCAGAGCGCGGUUAAAUUUUAAUCGCGUCUCCAUAGCAACAUGCAGUGCGCGUGUUUGUGCGUCUGCGUCCGUUAUAUGGGCGGUUGAGCAAGCCUGAGGCCUUUUGUUUCUUUUGGAAAAUACAACGUAAACAACAAAGUAGUCCUGAUCAAACGUGUUUAUCUGCUUGGCCAGUCGUUUUGGGACCUAUUUCGGUUAAAAAAAAAAAAAUGUGAGGAAAAACGGUUCUGGAGAGCAUGAGGGAGAAAAUACAACCGAACUGCCGGGAAACGUUUAACCGUACAGAAAAAGAGAAUAGCUACUGCUCUUUACAGCAGCCCCUAGACAUCCCACGGCAGCUAAAAGACUUGAAGAAGCCAGCGAGCCAGUCAGAUAAAUAUAAAGAGAGAGUGGGAAAGGAGGAAAAGAGCGAGACGUUAUUUAUUGAUAAGACCUACUUGAUUGAUAUGCAGUGGCGUGAUAGCAGUUCUCACAAGGAAUCCCAAAAAUAUCAAUGAACUCAGAAGUGUAAGGAUGAAUCUUCUCAAAUUGGUGUGCUAAUCUGCUUAGCUGCUACAGGAUAUGUUCAGUGGAAGUUGAUGCUGCCAAAAUAAGGUUAUAAAGAAGAGU